GACCAUACAGCCGCAAGAGUAUGGAACCUUAAAUUUAUGACUAGCGUAGGUAUCACAAUAAUGGUAUAACAAUAUACACUUAUUUUACUGUUGCCGGCAAGCGGAUGAGUGUUAUAGGUGUACAGUCGAGUACCCAUUUUAAUUGAUGCGGCAUUCAUAAAGUAUAGGUGUACACACUUGGAACCGGCGGUGUUAAUUAACUUCUCGUUUUAUUCUUUAACCCAAAGCCAGUCAUCUUGGCAAUUAAAAAAUACCAGUCGCGUUAUUGCACCACAUUGCUUUCGACUUGCAUUGAACUAUGGUUUAAUUUUAGGAAUUUAGCAUGUGUCGUAAUACAAAACAAAACACUAAAGGAAGUGUAAAGUAGGUACGAAGAUUAUGAUGAGUCUGUUGUCUGGAUAUUCACGUACGUACAGCAGUUACCGUGCUCGGUUGAUUUAUUUAAAAUAUUUUUUACAAUAAUGGUAACGUAACACCAUCACACAUGAAAAAGCCACAGUUUAAAUUGACACAUUUCAUUAUUCUAAAUUCAAAAUAGCCGAGGAAUAGCUUUCAGUUGAACAAUUUACAAUAUCACAAUUUCCAACUUACAGGUUUCAUUAGAAUCUAAGACAUUCUACGAUUGCGUUCAUUGCUUUCUAAAGAUUAAUUCUCAAGCCUCUCUUAUUCCUGUUAGUUAUGUAUGUUGAUGUCAACUAAUAUCUAUCGCUUUAUUAUUAAAUUUGACGACGCCCUAGAGGAUGACAAUACGUUAAGUAUUGGUGUACCUUCUUGACCAUUCUGGACUUUUUCAUAGGAUGUUACUAUCAUUCAGCAUUUGGGUGCACCAGGUCAAACGGUAUAGUCAUAUAGAAGAGAUGGGUAAUGCUCCCAAACUAUGAUAAAAAUUAUAUCCAAGAAAUUAGAAAUUUCGAUGUUCACAUUUCACGGAUAAUCACAAUAAUAAUUUGUACGAUGGCAUUGCUACUUACAGAGUAGUGUACUUAAUGAUUAAAAAAAAGAGUAUCGAAUAUGAAUUAACUGUAAUUAAUAAGGGCAAUGUUUUAAUUACUUUCUUUUAGACAUUUAUUCCAAUCAACCUUUUCACAUUGAUAGCCAUUACAUGAAGUUGGUAAGAAAUGGAAUUUUUUUCGAGUGGAACAAUAUGCGCUUAAAGCAUUUAUAACAACAGUUGUGAGCGGUUCCAUAUAAGUACAUAUAGAUAUUAUGUAGGACGAAAUGGUCGAGCCUCGAUUUUUAUCUCGUGUCACGUCCUAUGCAACAUUAAACAGACAGACAGGAUUUUUAAUACUUACUCGGAAUCCAAGGAAAUAAUAAUAGCUAAACGGAUUUAAACCGGUUAUUACCACACAGCCACAGGAGGAUGUUGGGGACAAAUGAUGAGAUUUGCGGCUACAAGACGAAGACCACCAUAGAAUCAUCAGCAUUUGCGUCAUCUUUAAAAAAGUCAGUUGUUCAGUUUUGAAGGAAAUUAUCGUAUUUGUCAUACGUUACAUUUUUGUAAAACUGAAUUUUAUUAUGUAAUUAGUAAAAAUACGGUUUCUUUUUUUUAUGCAUUCCAUUAAAAAAUUAUAUUUUUAACUUAACAAGAUAAUCUAAAGUCACAAAAGGAAUUAGCUAGGAAUUUCAAGUAUGUUUUUAACGGUAAUGGAUUGAAAAACUAUGUUUCUAAGAAAGUUACAGCAAAACUAAGACAUAUAAUGAAAAUAGAAUGUUCUUUUAAUAGUAUGGUAUUUUGAAGAUCGUUGUACUUAACACAUUUUUUUAUUCUAAUAAAAAAUAUCAUUUGAGCUAAAGAGAAGAAAAAUGUUUGAUCAAAAUAUUUUUUAAUAUCUUCAAUCAUUUUAUCAAGAAUUUAAACGAAAUAUAUUAAACUCUGAAUUUUUUAUUUUAAAUCCCUGUUUGAAACAUACUUUGUUGUUUACUUGUUAGCGAUUUUUUAACAACCUUUUCAUUUUAAGUAAUUUUUUUAUUAAAAUAAGGUCAAUCCAUGUCAAAUCACCAAGACAUGGUUUUACGACUACUUUUCCUUAGGUUUUACCUAAAUAAAAUUGAAAAUUGUUUUUUAUGACUAACUAUAUAAUUAUGGCGAUUUUAUUUGAAUAAAGUAAAAAAUAACAAUAAUUUAAAAUUUACAAUACUUUUUAAUUUUUUUAAUUUUUAUAUUCAUAUUAAACUGUAAAAGCCAUUGUAAAAUUUAAAGACAAGUAUGUCAUACCUAAAAAUAUGUUCAAAAAUCGGAAGAAACACGCUUUUUUGCUAUGUAAAUUCAACACUAGCUUCUCUUAUUUUUGUUACAAUUUCAACUGUAAAUAUAACUAAUAAAUAUAUAAACUAUUACUCAAUAUAUAGCUCAUGAUUUUUUUAUAGUUCUGAGGAGUAAUUAGAUCAAAUAAUUAGUAUAAAAUUUAGUAAGAUUUUUAGUUCAUUUGCAAAUUUUUAUGUUAAUUUCUAAUAAAAUUUACAAACAUAAGUCUCGGCAUGACUUAAUCUUGUUUUAUUAUCUGCACAGUCAAAUUUUAAAAAACUGCACUUAGAUAAAAUUGUACAACUUAAAGAAAUCAACAGUAUCUUAUAAAAAAGAAUAGAUCAUAAGAGCUUUUGGAACUCACUUUAAUCGCCUUAGAUUUGCUCUGCAGUUUUAAAAGAAUACAGUACUAAAGUUUUUUAAUAUAUUAAACAACCAUUCUUUUUGAGAACUUUAUUUUAAGGAAACAGUCGUUAAACAAAAUCUUUAUAAAUGGUCAAGAUAAAAUUAUUCUGGCUACAAUAUA